rnacentral:lncRNA from 1 species
UGGGCAAGACUUUGAAAUUAAAAAAAUAUUAUUACAUAUCUAAGAUCAUUAAAAAUAUUAUUUCUGUAUCUUGGUUACUAAAAUAAAGUUAUGAAAUAAAAUUAAUGGGCAAAGGUUGCUCCAUUUUUCUUUCUAAUAAAUUCUAUAACAGUGGUUAUAUUAAUAACAAUCUUCUAAUCCUUGCACUCAAUAAAAAUAUCUUGCAUAUUAGCAGAGAAAUAUGAAAAGAAAGAGAGAAGAUAUGAAUAUUACUUUUCUUUAGCAUUGCCACUUAGGUCAU